UACGUAGGGUGCGAGCGUUGUCCGGAAUUAUUGGGCGUAAGGGCUCGUAGGCGGUGUGUCACGUCGGCCGUGAAAACCUGCAGCUUAACUGUGGGCGUGCGGUCGAUACGGGCAUCACUGGAGUUCGGCAGGGGAGACUGGAAUUCCUGGUGUAGCGGUGAAAUGCGCAGAUAUCAGGAGGAACACCGGUGGCGAAGGCGGGUCUCUGGGCCGAUACUGACGCUGAGGAGCGAAAGCGUGGGGAGCGAACAGG
rnacentral:rRNA from 1 species